rnacentral:rRNA from 1 species
ACUUCGCGUUGCUACCUGCAGUCGAACGGAACCUUUCGGGGUUUAGUGGCGGACGGGUGAGUAACGCGUGAGGAUCUGCCUUCAGGUUGGGGACAACAGUUGGAAACGACUGCUAAUACCCAAUGUGCCGAGAGGUGAAAGCUUUAGUGCCUGAAGAUGAGCUCGCGUCUGAUUAGCUAGUUGGUGGGGUAACGGCCUACCAAGGCGACGAUCAGUAGCUGGUCUGAGAGGAUGAUCAGCCACACUGGGACUGAGACACGGCCCAGACUCCUACGGGAGGCAGCAGUGGGGAAUUUUCCGCAAUGGGCGCAAGCCUGACGGAGCAAGACCGCGUGAGGGAGGAAGGCUCUUGGGUUGUAAACCUCUUUUAUCAGGGAAGAAGAUCUGACGGUACCUGAUGAAUCAGCAUCGGCUAACUCCGUGCCAGCAGCCGCGGUAAUACGGAGGAUGCAAGCGUUAUCCGGAUUUAUUGGGCGUAAAGCGUCCGCAGGUGGUUGUUCAAGUCUGCUGUUAAAGCGCGAGGCUUAACCUCGUACAGGCAGUGGAAACUGGGCGACUUGAGUAUGGUAGGGGUAGCGGGAAUUCCCAGUGUAGCGGUGAAAUGCGUAGAUAUUGGGAAGAACACCAGCGGCGAAAGCGCGCUACUGGGCCAUAACUGACACUCAUGGACGAAAGCUAGGGGAGCGAAAGGGAUUAGAUACCCCUGUAGUCCUAGCUGUAAACGAUGGGUACUAGGUGUUGACCGUAUCGACCCGGUCAGUGCCGUAGCUAACGCGUUAAGUACCCCGCCUGGGGAGUAUGCACGCAAGUGUGAAACUCAAAGGAAUUGACGGGGGCCCGCACAAGCGGUGGAGUAUGUGGUUUAAUUCGAUGCAACGCGAAGAACCUUACCAGGGCUUGACAUGUCGCGAAUCCCGGUGAAAGUCGGGAGUGCCUUCGGGAACGCAA